UCCAUUGAAGUCCUGAACCUGAUGUGUAGUCUCCAUAAACUACUGGUGGCAAACUGGGAAAGAAGAAAUCACUGGAAAUUCUUCCCAACAGCCAGCAUGACUACAAAGGAUUCUUUGGAAAUGAGACCCUGAAAUUGGUACUUUAAGCCAUCACCCCACAUACUUCUGAAGCAGAAAUCCGAGGUCGGCAGCACCCUGGAACAUCACUCAGGUUUCCUGCUUAAAGGCCGGGUUGAUUGAGGACUGGAUACAUCUAUAGAGAGUUCUGCAAAAAUCCAUCCCUCAUCUAUGAAAAAUUAUUCAUAGCACAUGAGAAUGAAAGAGCCUGACUAAGGACAUGAAUGUAUGAGAAAGGAAACAUGGACUCCCACACUCAUGUGAUCUUCAGAUUUCAAAGAAGCAAAGAUGUAAUGGUCUAUCCAAAGGUCUAUUUUGGAAGACAUUUUAAAGUUCGAUAUGUUAGAAAUCAAGUGAGAAAAAAAU